CCAUGCUGGAGCUCUUUUUGGAUUUGGGACUGCAUUGCCACCCGUGCUGAUCAGAGCUCCACGCUGGGCAAACAGGAAAUGCAAUUCAAAAGUUUGCGGGGCUUUUCCUGUCUACCUGGCCAGUGCAUCGGAGUUCAUAUUGCUUUCCAGAGCGGUCACAAUGGUGCACUGUGGGAUACCGCCUGGAGGCCAAUACCGUCAAUUUGCGGCCACACUAACCCUAAUCCGACAUGGCAAUACCGAUUUCAGCACUACUCCUCUCGUCUGGAAGGGGUACAGAAACCGGUUUAAAGAGCCCUUUAUAUCGAUAUAAAGGGCCUCGUUGUGUGGACGGAUGCAGGGUUAAAUCGGUUUAACGCUGCUAAAUUUGGUUUAAACGUGUAGUGUAGACCAGGCCUUAGCCUGUCAAAAAACAGGAGGAGUAAAGCAGUGUUGCCAACUCUUGCAAUUUUAUCAUGAGUCUUCCAAUAUUUGGUGUUUUUCUUAAAGCCCUUUCCCCUCAUGCUCCUGAAGUCAUGUGAUUAUAUGAGACAAUCAGCUUUAAUUUUUCUUAAAAGGAAGAUUCUAACUCUCGUGAAUUAAAAUAAAAGCUUGAAAAUAUGAACUGCAAAGGCUCAAACUCCUAAAGGCAAAUAAAAAUAAUAUAUUUUUUUAAAUCAGCAUGAUUUUUAAGCCAGUCUCAUGAUUUCUGAACACUUGGGGUUGGCAAUACAGAAUACAUUUCAGACCCAAGUCUGCAACUGAAAACACCUUGUCAGGUAGGUUGCCAGGCGUCCAGUUUUCGACCGGAACGCCCAGUCGAAAAGGGACCCUGGUGUGUGCUAACCAGGCUGCUAAAAGUCUGAUUGGUGGUGCAGCGGGGUUAAGGCAGCCUCCCUACCCUGCCUGCCCUGGCUCUUGGAAACAGCCAGCAUGUCUGGCUUCCAGGCACAGGGGCUCUGUGUGCUGCCCUCGCUCCAAGCACCAGCUCUGCAACUCCUGAACUGUGGCCAAUGGGAGCUGCAAGGGUGGCACCUGCAGGGCGGGUGCAGGCAGCAUGCAGAGCCCCAUGGCCUGCCCCUCUGCCUAGGAGCCAGACAUGCUGGCUGCUUCCUGGAUCCACCUGAGCUAGGAAACUUCUGGAAGGAGCAUGAUGUCAUAAACAGAAGACCUAGCAUGACUCAAUACACACCAAUCAGGAUAGGCAAACUUCCUCUGGCUUUUGGCCACCUUUCAUAUUUGCUGAGUUAAAGUUCACGCUAGCCAAA